UUAAAUCCUAUAAUAUGAAUAAACACUGCACAAAAUAAAUUAAAUAACGUAAAAAAAUACUACAAAAAAAGGGUUUUUUGUCGUUAAAUCACUCUAAAUUUGACCGCAAAAUUUUGAAAUUUGGUAGGUAGAUUCCUUGAUCAGAAAUCUAUCAUACUCAAUAAUUAAAUCCUAUAAUAUGAAUAAACACUGCACAAAAUAAAUUAAAUAACGUAAAAAAAUACUACAAAAAAAGGGUUUUUUGUCGUUAAAUCACUCUAAAUUUGACCGCAAAAUUUUGAAAUUUGGUACGUAGAUUCCUUGAUCAGAAAUCUAUCAUACUCAAUAAUUAAAUCCUAUAAUAUGAAUAAACACUGCACAAAAUAAAUUAAAUAACGUAAAAAAAUACUACAAAAAAAGGGUUUUUUGUCGUUAAAUCACUCUAAAUUUGACCGCAAAAUUUUGAAAUUUGGUAGGUAGAUUCCUUGAUCAGAAAUCUAUCAUACUCAAUAAUUAAAUCCUAUAAUAUGAAUAAACACUGCACAAAAUAAAUUAAAUAACGUAAAAAAAUACUACAAAAAAAGGGUUUUUUGUCGUUAAAUCACUCUAAAUUUGACCGCAAAAUUUUGAAAUUUGGCAGGUAGAUUCCUUGAUCAGAAAUCUAUCAUACUCAAUAAUUAAAUCCUAUAAUAUGAAUAAACACUGCACAAAAUAAAUUAAAUAACGUAAAAAAAUACUACAAAAAAAGGGUUUUUUUGUCGUUAAAUCACUCUAAAUUUGACCGCAAAAUUUUGAAAUU